rnacentral:rRNA from 1 species
CAGCAGCCGCGGUAAUUCGUAGGUGGCGAGCGUUAUCCGGACUUACUGGGCGUAAAGGGUGUGUAGGUGGCUGCCAUAGUCGGGCGUGAAAUCCCGGGGCUUAACCUCGGGUUUGCGUUCGAUACUUGGUGGCUGGAGUGCGGGAGAGGGAAGUGGAAUUCCCGGUGUAGCGGUGAAAUGCGUAGAUAUCGGGAGGAACGCCGGUGGCGAAGGCGGCUUCCUGGCCCGUUACUGACGCUGAGGCACGAAAGCCAGGGGAGCGAACCGGAUUAGAUACCCGGGUAGUCCUGGCUGUAAACCAUGGGCGCUAGGUGUGGGUGGUGGUGAGCCAUCUGUGCCGAAGCUAACGCGUUAAGCGCCCCGCCUGGGGAGUACGGUCGCAAGGCUGAAACUUAAAGGAAUUGGCGGG